CCUAGUACAAAACGCUUGAAAGAAAAGAUGUAAUCGUGGUUGUAAUAAAAAUCCAACACUGAUAUUGUCUGAACAUAUAAAUUCAAGGAUACCACAGUAAACCUAUAUAAACUCGCAAGUUGGCAAUUUCCUGACCAUCUACUUCUUUUAUCAUUAAUUCAAAAUCCACGAUGAAGUUGCUGAUUGUUGUGUUGUUUGUUGCAACCUUUAUUACAGGAUUUCAGAUCGUUGAUUCGAGUCCUGCCCGUAAUUCUUGUGGGCCAUUUAACUGUUAUUAUUCUUUUGAUUGCGGAUUUGGUUAUCCAGAUUGCGUCAAAAACUGUAGGAAAUACAAGGGAUGUGCUACAGCAGAAUGCAUACAAAAUUCAUGGUGUUGCUGUAAGCAGUGUCCUUGAAAGUACAGAGAAUAAUUCUUGCAUCACUAAAAGACAUACGCCUGUUAUGUUAUGCGUUUUAAUAUUUUUAUAUUGAUCAUUUACAUUUCAAUAAGUUGCGAUGCUCUUACAGACGAAAAUACGCCUCUUGACAAUAAGAAGGUCUUUCUGUUUAUAAGGGUGUUAACACCUUGAACACUGCCAUUUUGAAGAUAAUUGGUUAAAAUACAUCGGAUUAUCGUGCAUAUAUAACAUUUGAACAUUCAGAAAUUAAACAAAAGAAAUCUUUUUGAAACAAAGCUGGUAUUUAGAAUUUCAAAUGUUGUACCACCCAAGUUCUUUCUAUUUAAACAACAUUUGAAAGGAACUUACAAGAAACACAUAGAAACUGUUAUUUUUUUCUUAUUUGAAAGUUUAUUAUACUGUUGUGACCUUGAACACUAUCAUUUUGAAGACAAUUGGUUAAAAUACAUCGGAAUAUCAUGCAUAUUAAACAUUUGAACAUUCAAAAAUUAACAAAGAAAUCUUUUUAAAACAAAGCUUGUAUUUAGAAUUCCAAAUGUUGCACCACUCAAGUUCUUUCAGCUUAAAACACAUUUGAGAGGAAUUUACAAGAAACAAAAAGAAAAUGUUAUUUUUUUCUUAUUUGAAAGUGAUUUUCGUAUAAACAAAACUGAUGUUUAUCACAUUCAAUGUACACAAUUCAAGAGGGAGGAGGAAGGUACAGGAAACUUUAAAUUUAUUUGAAAUAUCAUAUUUUAUGUCAUAAAUGUAGUUGAUACCAAUUUGAUUACGUUUUGUAAUAUGUCAAUAUCUUUUAAUCAAAAACAUUUUGAUUGAUUGAUAGAUA